UACGAAGGGGGCUAGCGUUGCUCGGAAUCACUGGGCGUAAAGCGCACGUAGGCGGCUUCUUAAGUCAGGGGUGAAAUCCUGGAGCUCAACUCCAGAACUGCCUUUGAUACUGGGAGGCUCGAGUCCGGGAGAGGUGAGUGGAACUGCGAGUGUAGAGGUGAAAUUCGUAGAUAUUCGCAAGAACACCAGUGGCGAAGGCGGCUCACUGGCCCGGUACUGACGCUGAGAGCGAAAGCAUGGGGGAGCGAACAGG
rnacentral:rRNA from 1 species